GGGUCAGUAGGUUGGUCUUCCCACCGGUACGUACGUGUCUCACUGAUUCCUCCUUCCUGAAGAACCGUAAUGCCAUUAAUUUGGUGUUGCGGGGAAACAGGACUGUUACUUUGAAAAAAUUAGAGUGUUUAAAGCAAGCUAACGCUUGAAUACAUUAGCAUGGAAUAAUGAAAUAGGACGAUCGAUCCUAUUUUGUUGGUUUCUAGGAUUGACGUA
rnacentral:rRNA from 1 species